rnacentral:rRNA from 1 species
AAAACAUGUUUGUUUGGAGUUAUAAAGAAUUUGACCUGCCCCCUGAUUAACUAUUAAAGGGCCGCAGUAUUAUAACUGUGCAAAGGUAGCAUAAUCAUUAGGUUUUUAAUUGAAAUCUCGUAUGAAUGGUUGGACAAAAGAAAGACUCUCUUUAUAUUAAGUUUUGAAUUUAACUUUUAAGUGAAAAGGCUUAAAUAUUCUAAAGGGACGAUAAGACCCUAUAAAACUUUACAUUGUUAUUAGUUUUGAUUGAAUUUAUGAAAUAAGAAUUUUAUUUGAUUAUUUGUUAUGUUGGGGAGACACAAGUAAAAUAUUUUUUUAACUGCUUGACAAUUAUACAAUUAUUAGUGAGUAAGUAGAAGAUCCUUUUAAGAUUAGUAGAUUAAGUUACUUUAGGGAUAACAGUGUAAUUUCUUUUGAGAGUUCUUAUCGAAAAAGAAGGUUGCAACCUCGAUGUUGAAUUAAAAUAUCUAUAUAAUGGAGAGGUUAUAUAAGAAGGUCUGUUCGACCUUGAAAUUUUUACAUGAUUUGAGUUCAAACCGGUGUGAGCCA